GACGAGGGGGUCCUAGCGUUGUUCGGAAUCACUGGGCGUAAAGCGUAUGUAGGCGGCUUUCUAAGUCGGUUGUGAAAUCCCAUGGCUUAACCAUGGAAUUGCAUUCGAAACUGGAGAGCUUGAGUGUGGGAGAGAUUGGUAGAAUACCUGGUGUAGUGGUGAAAUACGUAGAUAUCAGGUGGAAUACCGGUGGCGAAGGCGCAAUUGGCCCAACACUCGAACGCUGAGAUACGAAAGCGUGGGGAAUCAAACAGGGAUUAAGAA
rnacentral:rRNA from 1 species